rnacentral:lncRNA from 1 species
GGAUCCUGCUCCUACCCAAAGAACCUCCUUUCUAAGAGGUAAUUCUCCCAGCAAAUAGCUUCCUCAGGGUGGUUUCCAGGUCAUGGGACCCAAGUGUAUCAGUGGUUCUUGUCUUAUAAUUCUGGUCUUCCUCUCCCAGAUGGGAAGACUUGUUUUCAGGAUGCUACCAUUGUCAGUGACAAUGUUGCUGUGGCCACUCCAUGGACGCUGGGUGGGAGGUGAUGGUGCUGAUGAUUAGUUAGACAUGACAAUUCCCAGCUGAGGGCUACUUGGAAUCUGGGAGGUUCAGGAUGAAGGGGUCAGGGCCUGCUGCUUGAUGAUUUAGUUGAUGUUUCUUACAGUCUCAAAGACAUAACUCUGGGAGUUCCCGUUGUGGCGCAGCGGGAAUGAAUCUGACUAGAAACCAUGAGGUUGCGGGUUUGAUCCCGGGCCUCACUCAGUGGGUUAAGGAUCUGGCGUUGCUGUGAGCUGUGGGAUAGGUCACAGACAAAGCUCGGAUUUGGGAUUGCUUUGGCUCUGGCGUAGGCCGGUGGCUACAGCUUCAAUUGGACCCCUAGCCUGGGAACCUCCAUAUGCUGUGUGUGCGGCCCUAAAAAAAAUGGACAAAAGACAAACAAAACAAAACAACUUACCUCUGGAGGUUCUGCUUCUUUCUACUUGCUUCACUGCCAAGUUGGUCCUGAGAAACAAGUUCAACAAAGGCUGAGGUGUUGGCUGUGGUUUGUUCCAGAGGCUUUCAUUUUGUCUUGGGUCUCUUGAAGCACUUCCAUGCACUAUACACUGUCCAUACUUGUUCUGCAGCUGCAGUUCAUAGCUUACCUGUCACGGGCACCUUGAAAAUCCCUAGAGGCUGGCCUAGCUUUACAAAUUAGCAAAGGACUAUUUCCAAAAAAUAUCCACAUUACAAAUGGAAAUUAUUUCUUUUCUGAUAAAAAUGAGAUAGUUCUUAAAAUUGGCUGAGUUUAUAGAUUUUGAAGAAAAAUUAUGAUGUAGCCGGCCUGAGAAAGACCUGUCCACAGAAGCCAUCUGGAGCUGGCCUGAGGAUAUUUUACUGGGAAAACUAGCCCAGCGUGCACAGUGCCACCUAGUGGUCAGUCUCCACCAGAAGGGUCUUCUGCAGGAUGUGUAACCACAGGGAAGGGGUGGAUCACAAGAGAGUAGAAACCCCUUUGGAAUGAUCCACAACAAAGUUCAGCCGCAACUGCUACACAUCUACAUCUUCUGUGUUUUUUGAGGUCUCGCCUCCUUUAGCUUACACUGUCCUCUUCUGUACAAUAAGGGCAACCAGGUGAACGUGACCAUGUUCUUUAUGUGGCUCAAAAUCCUCUCCCAAAGCUUCCCCUCCUACCUCCUCUUUCUCUACUUUCAAGUAAAGAGGAAAAUAAAAUAGAAGCUUUUAUUUUGAAAUGAGAAUUUAAUUCUUAAUUCACGCUAUUGGAGAAUGCUUGGAUAUAAGAUGCAUUUGGCAAAAGUGAGAUGCGUACAGACUGCAUAAUGAGGUUACACAAAAGCAUAUUUGGGAAAAAAUGCGAGAACAUUAAUUUUUUCUUGCUAAUUUUUUUCCUUGAAUUGUGAAAUCCACAUUAGAAAUGUGCAAAGUGGAAGAAGAAGCUUCACUUCUAUCACUCAGUGCUGUGAACAGGCUUCCACCUGCUACAGCUUUUGAUUCAUGUUGUUUCACACUUCAUUCAGUUGUUACCUUUGGCAGCUGGUGAUACAAUACCAUUUGCUUGGAAAUACAAUCAAUCAAGCAAGAAAAAAAAAAAGAAAAAAA